GGGCGGGUGGCGGAAUUGGUAGACGCACCGCACUCAAAAUGCGGCGAAGAAAUUCGUGCGAGUUCGAGUCUCGCUCUGCCCA
rnacentral:tRNA from 3 species